rnacentral:rRNA from 1 species
UAGCAUAUCAAUAAGCGGAGGAAAAGAAACCAACAGGGAUUGCCCUAGUAACGGCGAGUGAAGCGGCAACAGCUCAAAUUUGAAAUCUGGCUCUCUUUGGGGGUCCGAGUUGUAAUUUGCAGAGGAUGCUUUGGCAUUGGCGGCGUUCUAAGUUCCUUGGAACAGGACAUCACAGAGGGUGAGAAUCCCGUACGUGGUCGCCUGCCUUUGCCGUGUAAAGCUCCUUCGACGAGUCGAGUUGUUUGGGAAUGCAGCUCUAAAUGGGAGGUAAAUUUCUUCUAAAGCUAAAUACCGGCCAGAGACCGAUAGCGCACAAGUAGAGUGAUCGAAAGAUGAAAAGUACUUUGGAAAGAGAGUCAAAAAGCACGUGAAAUUGUUGAAAGGGAAGCGCUUGCAGCCAGACUUCCCGCAGUUGCUCACCUAGGCUUUGGCCUGGGGCACUCUUCUGCGGGCAGGCCAGCAUCAGUUUGGGCGGUUGGAUAAAGGCCUCUGUCACGUAUCUCCCUCCGGGGUGACCUUAUAGGGGAGGCGUAAUGCAGCCAGCCCGGACUGAGGUCCGCGCAUCUGCUAGGAUGCUGGCGUAAUGGCUGUAAGCGGCCCGUCUUGAAACACGGACCAAGGAGUCUAACAUCUAUGCGAGUGUUUGGGUGUCAAGCCCGGGCGCGCAAUGAAAGUGAACGGAGGUGGGAACCCUUUGGGUGCACCAUCGACCGAUCCUGAUGUCUUCGGAUGGAUUUGAGUAAGAGCAUAGCUGUUGGGACCCGAAAGAUGGUGAACUAUGCUUGAAUAGGGUGAAGCCAGAGGAAACUCUGGUGGAGGCUCGCAGCGGUUCUGACGUGCAAAUCGAUCGUCAAAUUUGGGCAUAGGGGCGAAAGACUAAUCGAACCAUCUAGUAGCUGGUUCCUGCCGAAUUU